rnacentral:rRNA from 1 species
AUCUUCCGCAAUGGACGAAAGUCUGACGGAGCAACGCCGCGGGAGUGAUGAAGGUNUUNNGAUCGNANAACUCUGUUGUUAGGNNNNNACAAGUACCGGNGUAACUGCCGGUACCUUGACGGUAACUGACGCGAAAGCCACGGCUAACUACGGGCCAGCAGCCCAUGUAAUCAGUAGGUGGCAAUGGUUGUCCUGAUUUAUUUGGCGUAAACCGCCCCAAGGGUGUUUUUUAAAUCUGAUGUGAAAUCUUACGGCUUAACUGUAAGCGGUCAUUGGAAACUGGGAGACUUAAGUGCAGAAGAGGAGAGUGGAAUUCCAUGUGUAGCGGUGAAAUGCGUAGAGAUAUGGAGGAACACCAGUGGCGAAGGCGACUCUCUGGUCUGUAACUGACGCUGAGGCGCGAAAGCGUGGGGAUCAAACA